GGGUUGUGAGGUUAAGCGACUAAGCGUACACGGUGGAUGCCCUGGCAGUCAGAGGCGAUGAAGGACGUGCUAAUCUGCGAUAAGCGUCGGUAAGGUGAUAUGAACCGUUAUAACCGGCGAUUUCCGAAUGGGGAAACCCAGUGUGUUUCGACACACUAUCAUUAACUGAAUCCAUAGGUUAAUGAGGCGAACCGGGGGAACUGAAACAUCUAAGUACCCCGAGGAAAAGAAAUCAACCGAGAUUCCCCCAGUAGCGGCGAGCGAACGGGGAGCAGCCCAGAGCCUGAAUCAGUGUGUGUGUUAGUGGAAGCGUCUGGAAAGGCGCGCGAUACAGGGUGACAGCCCCGUACACAAAAAUGCACAUACUGUGAGCUCGAUGAGUAGGGCGGGACACGUGGUAUCCUGUCUGAAUAUGGGGGGACCAUCCUCCAAGGCUAAAUACUCCUGACUGACCGAUAGUGAACCAGUACCGUGAGGGAAAGGCGAAAAGAACCCCGGCGAGGGGAGUGAAAAAGAACCUGAAACCGUGUACGUACAAGCAGUGGGAGCACGCUUAGGCGUGUGACUGCGUACCUUUUGUAUAAUGGGUCAGCGACUUAUAUUCUGUAGCAAGGUUAACCGAAUAGGGGAGCCGAAGGGAAACCGAGUCUUAACUGGGCGUUAAGUUGCAGGGUAUAGACCCGAAACCCGGUGAUCUAGCCAUGGGCAGGUUGAAGGUUGGGUAACACUAACUGGAGGACCGAACCGACUAAUGUUGAAAAAUUAGCGGAUGACUUGUGGCUGGGGGUGAAAGGCCAAUCAAACCGGGAGAUAGCUGGUUCUCCCCGAAAGCUAUUUAGGUAGCGCCUCGUGAAUUCAUCUCCGGGGGUAGAGCACUGUUUCGGCAAGGGGGUCAUCCCGACUUACCAACCCGAUGCAAACUGCGAAUACCGGAGAAUGUUAUCACGGGAGACACACGGCGGGUGCUAACGUCCGUCGUGAAGAGGGAAACAACCCAGACCGCCAGCUAAGGUCCCAAAGUCAUGGUUAAGUGGGAAACGAUGUGGGAAGGCCCAGACAGCCAGGAUGUUGGCUUAGAAGCAGCCAUCAUUUAAAGAAAGCGUAAUAGCUCACUGGUCGAGUCGGCCUGCGCGGAAGAUGUAACGGGGCUAAACCAUGCACCGAAGCUGCGGCAGCGACGCUUAUGCGUUGUUGGGUAGGGGAGCGUUCUGUAAGCCUGCGAAGGUGUGCUGUGAGGCAUGCUGGAGGUAUCAGAAGUGCGAAUGCUGACAUAAGUAACGAUAAAGCGGGUGAAAAGCCCGCUCGCCGGAAGACCAAGGGUUCCUGUCCAACGUUAAUCGGGGCAGGGUGAGUCGACCCCUAAGGCGAGGCCGAAAGGCGUAGUCGAUGGGAAACAGGUUAAUAUUCCUGUACUUGGUGUUACUGCGAAGGGGGGACGGAGAAGGCUAUGUUGGCCGGGCGACGGUUGUCCCGGUUUAAGCGUGUAGGCUGGUUUUCCAGGCAAAUCCGGAAAAUCAAGGCUGAGGCGUGAUGACGAGGCACUACGGUGCUGAAGCAACAAAUGCCCUGCUUCCAGGAAAAGCCUCUAAGCAUCAGGUAACAUCAAAUCGUACCCCAAACCGACACAGGUGGUCAGGUAGAGAAUACCAAGGCGCUUGAGAGAACUCGGGUGAAGGAACUAGGCAAAAUGGUGCCGUAACUUCGGGAGAAGGCACGCUGAUAUGUAGGUGAAGUCCCUCGCGGAUGGAGCUGAAAUCAGUCGAAGAUACCAGCUGGCUGCAACUGUUUAUUAAAAACACAGCACUGUGCAAACACGAAAGUGGACGUAUACGGUGUGACGCCUGCCCGGUGCCGGAAGGUUAAUUGAUGGGGUCAGCGCAAGCGAAGCUCUUGAUCGAAGCCCCGGUAAACGGCGGCCGUAACUAUAACGGUCCUAAGGUAGCGAAAUUCCUUGUCGGGUAAGUUCCGACCUGCACGAAUGGCGUAAUGAUGGCCAGGCUGUCUCCACCCGAGACUCAGUGAAAUUGAACUCGCUGUGAAGAUGCAGUGUACCCGCGGCAAGACGGAAAGACCCCGUGAACCUUUACUAUAGCUUGACACUGAACAUUGAGCCUUGAUGUGUAGGAUAGGUGGGAGGCUUUGAAGUGUGGACGCCAGUCUGCAUGGAGCCGACCUUGAAAUACCACCCUUUAAUGUUUGAUGUUCUAACGUGGACCCGUGAUCCGGGUUGCGGACAGUGUCUGGUGGGUAGUUUGACUGGGGCGGUCUCCUCCUAAAGAGUAACGGAGGAGCACGAAGGUUGGCUAAUCCUGGUCGGACAUCAGGAGGUUAGUGCAAUGGCAUAAGCCAGCUUGACUGCGAGCGUGACGGCGCGAGCAGGUGCGAAAGCAGGUCAUAGUGAUCCGGUGGUUCUGAAUGGAAGGGCCAUCGCUCAACGGAUAAAAGGUACUCCGGGGAUAACAGGCUGAUACCGCCCAAGAGUUCAUAUCGACGGCGGUGUUUGGCACCUCGAUGUCGGCUCAUCACAUCCUGGGGCUGAAGUAGGUCCCAAGGGUAUGGCUGUUCGCCAUUUAAAGUGGUACGCGAGCUGGGUUUAGAACGUCGUGAGACAGUUCGGUCCCUAUCUGCCGUGGGCGCUGGAGAACUGAGGGGGGCUGCUCCUAGUACGAGAGGACCGGAGUGGACGCAUCACUGGUGUUCGGGUUGUCAUGCCAAUGGCACUGCCCGGUAGCUAAAUGCGGAAGAGAUAAGUGCUGAAAGCAUCUAAGCACGAAACUUGCCCCGAGAUGAGUUCUCCCUGAC
rnacentral:rRNA from 1 species